CUUUAAAUGGAAGCUGAGUGUUGCUUGCAUUUGUGACAAGAGUUCAAUAGGGAAUGGAAAACUGAUAGUGGUUCAAAACGGUAAGAGGGAGUUAAACAUUUUAAGGCUUUUUUCACUUAAGUUUGAAUUGUCAGGAAUUGAAUAUAAAUUUCAAGGCCACAAUAAUCAACCUGGAAAAAUGUUUCCAUUAUCAUUUUGUCUAGAUCAGCAUUUUAUUUAAAAUUUACUUUAAAUUUAGGUUCCUGAAUAACCUAUAAUCCUAACAAUAAAAAAAAAAUUAAGAGGAUGUGGAGAAAUAUGAAAUCCCUGCAUGUGGACCAUUUAAAAUGAGAUAUCGCGUAUUAAAGACAACAGCACCCCCUUGUGUCUACAUCAUUACAUGACCAGAUUGGCAACAAAUUAGCUAUACACUAAAGCCCAGCAUUUGAGGAUUAAAGUGAAUUUAAAAAAAAAAAACCCUGAUAUGUGUUUUGCCGCAAGGAGCUUAUGUGUCCCCGGCUCCCUAAAUUAAGUUAAUUUUAGCUGCUGUAAUUUACAAAGAAACUGGUGUAGUUAAUAUAUUUUGCCUUCAAAUGAAGCAGUCAUAACAGUGCUGCUUUUGGAAUGAUGCAACAAUGUAGUAGCA